GUCCUAUUGAUUUAUUUAAUAGGUCUGGCCUGCCCAGUGAUGAAUUUAACGGCCGCGGUAUACUGACCGUGCAAAGGUAGCAUAAUCAUUAGUCUUUUAAUAGAAGGCUGGAAUGAAAGGUUUAACGAGAAAUUAACUGUCUCGGUUACAAUAUUGAAUUUAUCUUUUGAGUCAAAAGACUCAAAUAUAAUUGAUGGACGAGAAGACCCUAUAGAGCUUUACAUUUUAAUUAAUAAAUAUUUCUAGUUAAUAAUUUAUUUUUAUUAAUUAAUUAAAUGUUUUGUUGGGGUGACAAGAAAUAUAUAUUUAACUUUUAUUAUAUUAUUUACAUUAAUAUAUGAAUUUUGGAUCCAAAAAUUUUGAUCAAUAGUUUAAGUUACCUUAGGGAUAACAGCGUAAUCUUCCCCCAGAGUUCAUAUUUACGGGAAGGAUUGCGACCUCGAUGUUGGAUUAAGAUAAUAAUUAGGUGCAGUAGCUUAAUUAAUAGGUCUGUUCGACCUUUAAAUUCUUACAUGAUCUGAGUUCAGACCGG
rnacentral:rRNA from 1 species